rnacentral:rRNA from 1 species
ACGGGAGGCAGCAGUGGGGGAUAUUGCACAAUGGGCGCAAGCCUGAUGCAGCGACGCCGCGUGAGUGAAGAAGUAUUUCGGUAUGUAAAGCUCUAUCAGCAGGGAAGAAAAUGACGGUACCUGACUAAGAAGCACCGGCUAAAUACGUGCCAGCAGCCGCGGUAAUACGUAUGGUGCAAGCGUUAUCCGGAUUUACUGGGUGUAAAGGGUGCGUAGGUGGCAUGGUAAGUCAGAUGUGAAAUACCGGGGCUCAACCCCGGGGCUGCAUUUGAAACUGCCAGGCUGGAGUACAGGAGAGGCAAGCGGAAUUCCUAGUGUAGCGGUGAAAUGCGUAGAUAUUAGGAGGAACACCAGUGGCGAAGGCGGAUUACUGGACGACAACUGACGGUGAGGCGCGAAAGCGUGGGGAGCAAACAGGAUUAGAUACCCUGGUA